GAUGAACGCUGGCGGCGUGCCUAACACAUGCAAGUCGAGCGAGAUGCUUCUGAUAGAUCUUCGGAUGAUAGAUGAAGCGGAAAGCGGCGGACGGGUGAGUAACGCGUAGGCAACCUGCCCUUUGCAGAGGGAUAGCCUCGGGAAACCGGGAUUAAAACCUCAUAAUGCGACUGGAAGACAUCUUCCGGUCGCCAAAGAUUUAUCGGCAAAGGAUGGGCCUGCGUCUGAUUAGUUAGUUGGUGGGGUAACGGCCUACCAAGGCGACGAUCAGUAGCCGACCUGAGAGGGUGAUCGGCCACAUUGGAACUGAGACACGGUCCAAACUCCUACGGGAGGCAGCAGUGGGGAAUAUUGCACAAUGGGGGAAACCCUGAUGCAGCAACGCCGCGUGAACGAUGAAGGCCUUCGGGUCGUAAAGUUCUGUCCUUGGGGAAGAAUACAUGACGGUACCCUUGGAGGAAGCCCCGGCUAACUACGUG
rnacentral:rRNA from 1 species